UGCCAGCAGCCGCGGUAAUACGGAGGAUCCAAGCGUUGUCCGGAUUCAUUGGGUUUAAAGGGUACGUAGGCGGGUUAUUAAGUCAGUGGUGAAAGCCUACAGCUCAACUGUAGAACUGCCAUUGAAACUGGUAACCUUGAGUUUGGACGAGGUGGAUGGAAUGUAUCAUGUAGCGGUGAAAUGCUUAGAUAUGAUACAGAACACCGAUUGCGAAGGCAGUCCACUAGACCAAUACUGACGCUGAGGUACGAAAGCAUGGGGAGCGAACAGGAUUAGAUA
rnacentral:rRNA from 1 species